AUUGAACGCUGGCGGCAGGCCUAACACAUGCAAGUCGAGCGAGCGGCGGACGGGUGAGUAAUGUCUGGGAAACUGCCUGAUGGAGGGGGAUAACUACUGGAAACGGUAGCUAAUACCGCAUACCAUCAGAUGUGCCCAGAUGGGAUUAGCUAGUAGGUGGGGUAAUGGCUCACCUAGGCGACGAUCCCUAGCUGGUCUGAGAGGAUGACCAGCGACAGUGAAACUGAGAAAAGGUCCAGACUCAUACGGGAGGCAGAAGUGGGGAAUAUUGCACAAUGGGCGCAAGCCUGAUGCAGCCAUGCCGCGUGUGUGAAGAAGGCCUUCGGGUUGGAAAGCACUUUAAGCGAGGAGGCGUUACUCGCAGAAUAAGCACCGGCUAACUCUGUGCCAGCAGCCGCGGUAAUUC
rnacentral:rRNA from 1 species